UACACUCCUGCGGGAGGCAGCAGUGGGGAAUAUUGGAAAAUGGGCGCAAGCCUGAUCCAGCCAUGCCGCGUGAGUGAUGAAGGCCCUAGGGUUGUAAAGCUCUUUCACCGGUGAAGAUAAUGACGGUAACCGGAGAAGAAGCCCCGGCUAACUUCGUGCCAGCAGCCGCGGUAAUACGAAGGGGGCUAGCGUUGUUCGGAUUUACUGGGCGUAAAGCGCACGUAGGCGGACUAUUAAGUCAGGGGUGAAAUCCCGGGGCUCAACCCCGGAACUGCCUUUGAUACUGGUAGUCUUGAGUUCGAGAGAGGUGAGUGGAAUUCCGAGUGUAGAGGUGAAAUUCGUAGAUAUUCGGAGGAACACCAGUGGCGAAGGCGGCUCACUGGCUCGAUACUGACGCUGAGGUGCGAAAGCGUGGGGAGCAAACAGGAUUAGAUACCCUUGUAGUCCCAUG
rnacentral:rRNA from 1 species